GACGAACGCUGGCGGCGUGCUUAACACAUGCAAGUCGAACGGAAAGGCCCUGCUUUUGUGGGGUGCUCGAGUGGCGAACGGGUGAGUAACACGUGAGUAACCUGCCCUUGACUUUGGGAUAACUUCAGGAAACUGGGGCUAAUACCGGAUAGGAGCUCCGGCUGCAUGGUGGGGGUUGGAAAGUUUCGGCGGUUGGGGAUGGACUCGCGGCUUAUCAGCGUGUUGGUGGGGUAGUGGCUUACCAAGGCUUUGACGGGUAGCCGGCCUGAGAGGGUGACCGGCCACAUUGGGACUGAGAUACGGCCCAGACUCCUACGGGAGGCAGCAGUGGGGAAUAUUGAACAAUGGGCGGAAGCCUGAUGCAGCAACGCCGCGUGCGGGAUGACGGCCUUCGGGUUGUAAACCGCUUUCGCCUGUGACGAAGCGUGAGUGACGGUAAUGGGUAAAGAAGCACCGGCUAACUACGUG
rnacentral:rRNA from 1 species